rnacentral:rRNA from 1 species
GCCUAUGGCCUAACCACCCUGAGAAUGCCUGAUCUCAUCUGAACUUGGAAGCUAAGCAGGGUUGGGCCCGGUUAGUUACUUGGAUGCGAGACCACCUGGGAAUACCGAGUGCUGUAGGCU